rnacentral:rRNA from 1 species
UGGGGAAUUUUGGACAAUGGGGGAAACCCUGAUCCAGCCAUCCCGCGUGUGCGAUGAAGGCCUUCGGGUUGUAAAGCACUUUUGGCAGGAAAGAAACGUCAUGGGUUAAUACCCCGUGAAACUGACGGUACCUGCAGAAUAAGCACCGGCUAACUACGUGCCAGCAGCCGCGGUAAUACGUAGGGUGCAAGCGUUAAUCGGAAUUACUGGGCGUAAAGCGUGCGCAGGCGGUUCGGAAAGAAAGAUGUGAAAUCCCAGAGCUCAACUUUGGAACUGCAUUUUUAACUACCGGGCUAGAGUGUGUCAGAGGGAGGUGGAAUUCCGCGUGUAGCAGUGAAAUGCGUAGAUAUGCGGAGGAACACCGAUGGCGAAGGCAGCCUCCUGGGAUAACACUGACGCUCAUGCACGAAAGCAUGGGGAGCAAACAGG